rnacentral:rRNA from 1 species
AUACAUAGGGGGCGAGCGUUAUCCGGAUUUAUUGGGCGUAAAGGGUGCGUAGGCGGUAAAUUAAGUCUAAGGUUAAAGUGCAGGGCUCAACCCUGUGAUGCCUUAGAAACUGGUUUACUUGAGUUUGGUAGAGGUAAGUGGAACUCCAUGUGUAGCGGUAAAAUGCGUAAAUAGAUGGAAGAACACCAGUGGCGAAGGCGGCUUACGGGGCCACAACUGACGCUGAGGCACGAAAGCGUGGGGAGAAAACAGGAUUAGAUACCCUGGUAGUCCACGCUGUAAACGAUGAGUACUAGCUGUCGGGGGUUGCCCCCCUCGGUGGCGCAGCUAACGCAUUAAGUACUCCGCCUGGGAAGUACGCUCGCAAGAGUGAAACUCAAAGGAAUUGACGGGG